UGCAGAAGCUGAACAAUAACAGCCUGACAGGAACAAUUCCUACCUCGGUGGCAAACAUGACCCAACUAAUUCUUUUGGAUCUAUCUUACAGCAACUUGAGUGGACCAUUCCAACCUUACAUGCCAAUACAUUCAACGUAAUGGGCAAUCCUCAGAUAUGUUCAACUGGAACCGAGGAAGAGUGCAACGAGACUCAUCCUAAACCAAAGUCACUUAUCUUCAGCAGUUCUGACCCAUCUGAUGGAGGAACAAUAAACCAGAAUUCGCGGUACAAUUCGGUUUAAGCCUUGCAUGUAUUCUGUGUAUCGAUCAUUCAUUAGCUUUGGUUUUUAUUUAGAUUAAACUGUAUUAGAAGAUUGUGAUAAUAAUGAUGUAAAAGCUAGACUUUAUUUGGGAAUUUUACCAUGUAUAAUAAAUACUAAAGUUAUGGAAUGUCAAUA